rnacentral:rRNA from 1 species
ACGCUCGACACCUACGGGAGGCAGCAGUGGGGAAUAUUGCACAAUGGGGGAAACCCUAGAUGCAGCGACGCCGCGUGAGCGAAGAAGUAUUUCGGUAUGUAAAGCUCUAUCAGCAGGGAAGAAACUGACGGUACCUGACUAAGAAGCACCGGCUAAAUACGUGGCAGCAGCCGCGGUAAUCUGAGCGGGCUGGCAAGGC